rnacentral:rRNA from 1 species
GUGGGGAAUAUUGGACAAUGGGCGAAAGCCUGAUCCAGCAAUGCCGCGUGAGUGAUGAAGGCCCUAGGGUUGUAAAGCUCUUUUACCCGGGAAGAUAAUGACUGUACCGGGAGAAUAAGCCCCGGCUAACUCCGUGCCAGCAGCCGCGGUAAUACGGAGGGGGCUAGCGUUGUUCGGAAUUACUGGGCGUAAAGCGCACGUAGGCGGCUUUGUAAGUUAGAGGUGAAAGCCCGGGGCUCAACCCCGGAAUAGCCUUUAAGACUGCAUCGCUUGAACGUCGGAGAGGUGAGUGGAAUUCCGAGUGUAGAGGUGAAAUUCGUAGAUAUUCGGAAGAACACCAGUGGCGAAGGCGGCUCACUGGACGACUGUUGACGCUGAGGUGCGAAAGCGUGGGGAGCAAACAGGAUUAGAUACCCUAGUAGUCC